UUAAGACCUCAAAUCAGGUGGGACUACCUGCUGAACUUAA
rnacentral:rRNA from 1 species